rnacentral:ribozyme from 1 species
CGGAAAAAAAAAAGACAAAAAAAAAAAAAAAUCCAAACAUCUUGCUUUUUUUCUCUCUCUGUGUGUGUGUUCUCUUCUCUCUGUGUGUUCUUCUUCCU